rnacentral:rRNA from 1 species
UACGGGGGGGGCAAGCGUUGUUCGGAAUUACUGGGCGUAAAGGGCGCGUAGGCGGCCUGCUAAGUCGGAUGUGAAAUCCCUCGGCUCAACCGGGGAACUGCAUCCGAUACUGGCGGGCUUGAAUCCGGGAGAGGGAUGUGGAAUUCCAGGUGUAGCGGUGAAAUGCGCAGAUAUCGGGAGGAACACCAAUGGCGAAGGCAGCUUGCUGGGACGGUACUGACGCUGAGGCGCGAAAGCGUGGGGAGCAAACAGG